UACGUAGGGUGCGAGCGUUGUCCGGAAUUAUUGGGCGUAAAGAGCUCGUAGGCGGUCUGUCGCGUCGAUCGUGAAAACUUGGGGCUUAACCCUGAGCUUGCGGUCGAUACGGGCAUGACUGGAGUUCGGCAGGGGAGACUGGAAUUCCUGGUGUAGCGGUAAAAUGCGCAGAUAUCAGGAGGAACACCGGUGGCGAAGGCGGGUCUCUGGGCCGAAAUUGACGCUGAGGAGCGAAAGCGUGGGGAGCAAACAGG
rnacentral:rRNA from 1 species